rnacentral:rRNA from 1 species
UAAUACGAAGGGGGCUAGCGUUGUUCGGAAUCACUGGGCGUAAAGCGCACGUAGGCGGACCGUUAAGUCGGAGGUGAAAGCCUGGAGCUCAACUCCAGAACUGCCUUCGAUACUGGCGAUCUUGAGUAUGGUAGAGGUUGGUGGAACUCCGAGUGUAGAGGUGAAAUUCGUAGAUAUUCGGAAGAACACCAGUGGCGAAGGCGGCCAACUGGACCAUUACUGACGCUGAGGUGCGAAAGCGUGGGGAGCAAACGGGAUUAGAUACCCUGGUAGUCCACGCUGUAAACGAUGAGAGCUAGCCGUUGGGGUGCAUGCACCGCAGUGGCGCAGCUAACGCGUUAAGCUCUCCGCCUGGGGAGUACGGUCGCAAGAUUA